GAUGAAGAACGUAGCGAAAUGCGAUACUUGGUGUGAAUUGCAGAAUCCCGUGAACCAUCGAAUCUUUGAACGCACCUUGCGCCCUUUGGCUAUUCCGAAGGGCAUGCCUGUUUGAGUAUCAUGAACACCUCAACUCUCAUGGUUUGCCAUGAUGAGCUUGGACUUUGGGGGUCUUGCCGGCCUAUGGGUCGGCUCCUCUCAAAUUAAUCAGCUUGCCAGUGUUUGGUGGCAUCACAGGUGUGAUAACUAUCUACGCUUGUGGUUUUCCAUCAGGUAACCUUCAGUGAUGGAGGUUCGCUGGGGCUCAUAAAUGUCUCUCCUCAGUGAGGACAGCUUUUUUGAACGUUUGAUCUCAAAUCAGGUAGGACUACCCGCUGAACUUAAGCAUAUCAAUAAGCGGAGGA
rnacentral:misc_RNA from 1 species